UAAUAAUAAUAAUAAUAAUAAUAAUAAUAAUAAUAAUAGAAGAAAGAAAAGUCGAAAAAUAUAACAAGUUAGCUUGGAAGGUUAAACAGUUGUGGUCGCUGAAAAAGGUGGUAGUAGUACCAAUAAUUGUCGGAGUCCUGGGAACAGUGAG